rnacentral:tRNA from 1 species
AGGAUUAUAGUUAAAUAUUAUAACAUUUAAUUUGCAAUUAAAAAAUAAUGACUAUCAUUUUAUCUUA